rnacentral:lncRNA from 1 species
CCCGAGGCACGUGAAAAUUCCUGGGUCAGGGAUCAAACCCCCACCAUAGCAGUGACAGUGCUGGAUCCUUAACUCACUGCACUACAAGAGAAAUCCUCCAUGGCCUGGUAAAUAUAGAAGAAUGAAGUUCAGAAGGGAGACUUCAGUGAAGUUAUACACUCGGAAGUCACUGAACCAAUCAGUCAGAACCCCAGUAAAAAAUAAUGGCAUAUACAAAUCAGGAAUAUUUAAGGAAGGUUUAGUUACAGAGGGACUAUUUUUAGAGGCAUGUGUAUAUGUAGGGAAACCCAAGGAAUUGUGGAAAACUCUGGGUGUUGCAAAAACCUACAAACAUGGGAAAUAGGAGGCCACAGGAACUGUGAAACAGGUGGGUGGAGACGGGGGUCUUGAGAAGAGACAUCUUUAAUUAAGAGUCCUUACCCAGCAGAAGCAGAAGGAAUAAAUACCCCAGUGUCACUCUUCUCUCUCCCCUUAAUAUCCUGCCACCACACACAAUUGUUUAUAACCAACCAGAAGCCAGAAGUUAAAGAGUCCUGUUGAUAAAAUACGUACAAGCCAACCUCCUGAGGCAAAGAAUAGGAAGGAGAAAGAUGGAGGACAGAUCUAGAGGAAAAGAGAGGACACUUGGAGCAAGCUGAUAAGAUGGUAUUUGAAGCAAUGAGACUGAACGAGAUGACUAGGGAAUGCAUGUAGACAGAAAGGAGGACAGCUCCAAGGACUGAACUCUGGAACAUUCCAAUUCUUAGAAGCUGUUUGUUGCUAAAGUAUAAAAAUAAAAUUAGUUUGAAUAUAUUGAUCAUAUUAUCAAACUGGCCUGAUAAAACCCCAAUAUUUUGCAUACAGUUUGCUUUGGGCUCUCGUGCAGAUGGUCAUAGCCUCCACAAAUAUUAUCAAUCAGGUUUCCUGCUUUUCAAUCCUGAUGUUUUGCUGUGUUGGUUAGUAACUCCAAUAUAAUGUUGAAUAUAGAAGUGAUGAUAAUGACUACUAUUAGCUUAUGAGUAAUUUAAAAUGGAAUGCUUUUAAUGUUUUAUAAUUAAUAAAGAUCUUUACGGCAGGUUUUUGGUAGGUAUUGUUUGUGGAUUAUGUUUAUGUGUUUGUUUUUUCCUUUUUAGGGCCACACCUGUGGCAUUUGGAAGUCCCAAAGCUAGGGGUGAAUCGGAACUGCAGUUGUGGACCUACUCCACAGCCACAGCAACACCAGAUCUGAGCCCACAUCUCUGACCUAUACUGCAGCUUGCAGCAACACUGGAUCCUUAACCCAUUUAGCAAGGCCAGGGAUCGAACCACAUCCUCGCAGAUAGUAUUUCAGCUUCUUAACCCAACGAGCCAUAACAGGAACUCCAAUGUGGUUUUUAAAAUACUAAACUACUCAUCUAUUCCCUGGAUAAUCUCAGCUUGGUCAUGAUGUAAUAUAUUUCUUUAUGUGACUAAAGUCUGAAUAUUCACAAUCUAAGAAGGUGUGAUUUAUAAUGCCCGUUUUUACAGAUAAGAAACUGAGACUUAUUAUGUUUAGAGAAAAACAUAAUAUGCCUAGGUUUAUACCCAGUAGAUGGCAGAACAGAGUCCAAACUCAGGUCUGUUUGAUUCUAAACUUAUGCUCUUUCCACUCACUGUCCUCCUUAAGGGCAGAUACCAGGUCUUUUCACUAUGUCUCAAAUGCCCAGGACAGUGCUUACUCAAGAAAUUUGUUGAGUGAACAUUGAAUGGAUGCUUCAGGACCCUAUAGAUUCUUUGAAGUUUCCUUAGCUGUAAAAAAAUUAAAUAACACUUUUCCCAUCUUAGGUAUUGGUCACAAACUGAUGUUCAAUGUAAACAGAAGAAAAGAUCUACAGAAGUAGACCUAAAGAUAAUCUUAGUAGUUCUUUACUACAGUUCUUUAAAUUCAUCACUGGAAGAAUUUUAAUCCAUUGGAAUGGGUUUAAAAGAGGCCAGUAGGAGACAGUCUCUUAAAAUGCACCACAUCUUCCUUAGUCAAUGUUUAUACUAGUGUGUUCGUACUCAAACCAAAGAAAUCAAAACCACUGAUGGUUAAGUCUUCGUUGAAACGUCUUCAUUUCUUCAGUACAAAAAAAAAGUGCUAUUUCUUAGGCAGAUAUGUUUUAGAAAGACUGGCAAUAAGCCGCUCCAAUUAGAAAAAGAAGAAUGUGUAAAGACAUAUCCAAGCAAGGUGUCAAGCAGAAAACCAAGUCACAAAGGCUUUGGGAGGGAAAUCCUCCUCCAUCCUGCAAGACCCUAGGAUGAGCCUCUGUGGCAUAAAUAAAGCCAGGAGAAUUUCUAACAUAAAAUAUUGGCCAAAAUAAUAUGAAGGAGUCAACAACUGUAGCCAAAAUAAUAUUUCACUGCUUGUUGAAAAACAGGCAGGGAAAACUACACUGUCACCUCUUCUGGGAAAAGCAAAAAUAAAGUUGUAUUUCAACCUUAAUUUUCCAGCUUGUGGGCAAAAAUAAAAGGAAAAUUACUUCUGGGCAAUACUGCAUGUAUUAUAGAAUAAUGAGCCAUCUUGGGCAGUUGAGCAAGAAGCAGAGCAACCAAUGUUCUUUUCUCUAAAAAAGAAUAAUGCAGUGAGUUCCUUUAAAAUAAACCAUAAAAAGAAAUGCUACCUCCAAAAGGAGAUACAAUGAUAUAUACAUCAAGAGCCAUCUCAGAAUGUCAUACAUCUCUAUUGAAGAGACAGUGUGACACCUGGGAAUAAAUAAGAAGUAGAGCAUUUGGGAGGCUGAUCUGUUGACACACAGCUCCAUCACUGCCUCAUGGCCCUUGAAGUUAUUUCAUGUCAGUCUUCUUCUUUCCUCCCUCCCUCCUCUCCUUCCUUCUUCCUUUCUUCCUUCCUUUCCUCAUUCUCCUUUUUUUAUGUUUUAAAUGUUGAUUCAUUGAACAAUCCAACAAACUUAUUUGUGAAGCCAGUUAUUAAAAUAGUACCAAACAUUACUAGGUUUCAAGACUGGCUUCUAAAUGCACAGAUAUGGCCCCCUCUAUGACUCUGUGUUGGCAGACUCUAAGAUGGUCACCAAGAUUUCUGCCCCCAAUGUACAUGUCCUAUAGAAUCUCCUCCCCUUGACUGUCAGAAGAACCUGCCAAUAUAAUGGGAUAUCAUUCCCGUAAUCGUGCUAUGGUAUACGACAGAGGGGUUUACAGAUGUAAUUAAGAUGCCUAAUCAGUUGAUUUUUGGGUUAGUCAAGAGAUUAUCCUAGGUGGGUGUGACCUAACCAGAAGAGUUUUAAAAAGUGAUCAGAGGGAUUCUAAGUGAAAGAGAUUUCUCCUGAUAACCCUGAAGAAGUAAACAACCAUGUUGUGAACUGUUUAUAGGGGAAGCUGUGUGUGACAGAAAACUAAUAAAUCUAUCCUUGAGCCUUAAAGUUUGAUGACAAUAUCCCUAACCUGAGGUUUUGGGGUAUGGUGAGGACUUACUAGGUAAGGUAAGAGAAGAAGCUAAUGAGCUCCUUCAUUUAGCUGGAAAUAGUCUCUACUGUUUUAGUGGAGGGCAUGUGAUAGUCAUUCCUGAGGCUCACCAAGUACUUCUAACUCUCCCUCCAUACCCAUGACAGCCAUGGUGCAGUCCUUGUUAAAUGGACCACAUACAUCAUGUUUGUCAGUGUGGAUCACUUGGAAUGACCAAGGCAGAACUCCCCAAAACUCCCUUUCCCUCUGCUGCAGUCAUCAUUGUGUUCCUCAUAGCCUGUGCCCUAGAGUGAGGAUACACAGGCAGAGCCUAUCUUGCUAACCCAUGCAGUCGCCUAUAGAGUGAAAAUUAAAUCUUAUCUGCAAACACUACAACUUUACAGUUGUUUGUUACUGCAUCAUAACUUAGUCCAUGCUCUCACAUGGUGAAUUAUUGAGCCGCAUAGCCAAAAAGAACAGCCAGAGAACCGGGCAUGAGAAGAUAAGAAGACAGGAGAAUGCUUAACCUCUUACAGUAUUCACAUGCCUAAAUUAAGAAAUAAACAAAGAAAAAACAAAGAACAACAAAAGGGCCUUAAGUGCAAGCAGAAGAGAAGAAACAUGAGAACAACAACCAUCACUCAUCUAUGCUGAAAAGCACAAGGAUCACAGGAUCCAUUAAAGUCUGAGAAGGCAGAACCAGUGAAGUGGCCGGCUCUUUACUUUGUGGGGGGGAAAGUGGAGGAAGCACUUCUUAGACAAUUCUUGUUAGGAUAAAGGCCAUCACCAGUCUUUGCGUUUGCAUGUUCCCUUAAUUUCAAGGGCCUAGAGGACAGUCUUCAUACCCUGCUCAGCACGAUUGUCAAAAGAUAAUUUAGAAGGAGUGUAUCUACUCAGUGGGAAUAAACAAUACAAACAAAAGGUCUGAUUAAAAAAAAAGUGCUAUGAUAGUAGAAAAAAAUAGAUGGGCAGUACAACCCUGUUUUUAGCAUCAUGUUGAUUGGGAGAUGUUAAUGUUAAACAAUCAGUUUGAUCAGUUUUAAGUUCCUUUUCAAAAACCAUUCAGAUGGUUUCUGUGGCAAACACUUAUCUUAGAUUUUAAAGAUAGAGGUUCUGAUGAAAUGUUCUUUGGGAAAUUAACAGAAAUUCCAUUCCAACAGAUUUAGAUUUUGAAGAUAAAAAUAUCACUGGCUCUGUGAAUAGUGGGAUAGUUAAAGCAGACAUGUAUAAAUUAAGCUAACCCUGUGUAUAUCUUUUCAAAAUGUUAUUCUGUUCAGACCACAUCAAUAAUGCAGAGCUAAGGAAAUGGACUAAGGUAUGAAAGAGAUAUCUUGACCCUAGAGUCAGUGUCUUUGACCAAUUAUUACAGAAGUAACUAGAUUAUAUUUCUCAAAGUUAAAUCCGAUCAAAAAGAGACACCACCCAGGAAUUUCCUGGUGCACAGUGGGUUAGGGAUCUGGCAUUUUCACUGCUGUGACUUAGGUCACUGCUGUGACAUGACCCCUGGCCCAGGAACUUCUGCAUGCUCAGGGCCCGGCCAAAAAGAAAAAGAAAACAAAGAAAAAGACACAUAAGAUACAUCACCAAGAACUAGAGCUUGACACUAUUAUACUACUUGUGGAACAUUUUUCAAGCUGAAUAUAUUAUCUAUGUCUACAUAGUAGGAGGAAAUGGAAUACUGAGUCAAUGACUGGGUAUUUUAGGCUAUAAGUUUAUAUUUACAAUGAAAGCAUAAAGUAAUUGUGACAAAAUAGGUUGUUAAAUUGAAUCACCUAAGGUAAAUGCUUUAAUUCCGUCACCCCACCUUUUUUAUAGAUGUGUGUCAUAGCUUUGGGGAGAGAUAAGGAUAUUGUGGGUGCCUGAAUGUUGGACUUAGGUGCCAAGGGACGCACUCCUACUGAUAGUCCAAAAGCUAUUCUGGGUGCAAAAUACUUGCUUGCAAGUCAUAUGUUCUUCUCACUCCAGUGCUAGGUGAUGUUACCAGCAUAUGGCUUCCAUAGACAAGCUGGUUGCUAUAUUUUUUAGGUUCUAUCUAUAUUUCCUUGGAUCUGUGCAAUGGAGUCAUUUGGAUGAUGAAAACAAAACAGCUUUCUCUUGAAAGGAAUGUCAUUCUGCUCUCACAACACAGAGAAGUACACUUAGUGGAUAUUUAAAUGUAAAUAAAUGCAUCGGAUUAAUGCUCUCGGCACCCAAGAGAUACUAAAAUAGGCCACUGAUGACCUUUCAUGCUCCACCUGAAAUUGUAAAAAGGCAGCCCAAGAGGUAGUUUGGAUCUUUUUAAAGAAUCACCACCUUUCUAGAACCAGUUAUCCCACUUGGUUUCUCAGUUUUUCCUCUAAAUAGCAAUGUUGAUGCUUUAUUAGUUAAUCAAUAAGACAUGAUACAGAGCAUGGUUAUCAUAAAAUAAUCAUACCCUGGAGCAUUUUGAGGCGUGAGCUACUUGCCUCUAAUCAGAUUGGGUUGAGAUUACCUUUGGAUAACCACACUCUUGGGAACUGUCUCAUUUCUAUUAUGAGUACAUUUUAUAAUAGGAAAAAUGUACAUUCCUGUAGGGGGAAAAUGAAGUUGGCAGCUUAUACCUAGCAAUCAUUUCAGUUGAGCCGAGAAAAAUUCCUCUAUUUGAACAAAGUCAAACCGUGCACCGUCUAUUCAAGCAAUGUCAGAGAAAAGAGGCAGCUCACAUGCUACAUGGGUAAUGCGAUACAAUGGAGACUGUAUUUUACUUUGGCAUUGCAAGCUCCAAAUUACAUGCAAACAUUCAAAAGGGGCAUUUGAAACUUGGCAUGCAUGUUUAUAAAUGGUACAUUAUGAGUCUGGAGUGGGUUUAGGUGUGUAGGUUACAGUAACAGAUGAUCUUCAACGUAAAAAUGGAACAAAGCCUUUCUUUAACUUCCUACAGAGAAAGAUGUUCAACUUUCUGCUUCAAUUAUAAUCCCAGGCACACUGGAGAUUCCGUUAAGAGCAAUUUCUCCCUAUUUCUCCUUAUCCUGACCAGCCAAAAAUUUUAAUCAAAUUACACAUAUUGGAAAGUUAAAGACAGAAAAGCCCAGUGAGCCAUGAAAUACACUUUACAACAGUGUGCACAGCACUUAUCCUAUUGGUUUAGAAUGGUGGAAAAAUCCAUUUAAAAUGUUAGAUGAACAUACUGCAGAGAUAAUAAUAAAUUCUUAGAGCUGCAGGCUUUUAAUCCUAUUUUUCUAUGCAUAGGACUUAUAUCCAGGAAUUUUUAACAUGAGAUUAAAUGAUAAAGAAAAAAAAGAUGGUGAAAAUACUUAUAUGAAUUGUUCUGUGAUGGAAGUAAAUAUUUGUAACUAAUAAUGAAACUGAGAUACAAGAAAGCCAGAAAAUAUUAUUGCCAUAUUGAUAGAAUCAAAUGUACUAUUUAUGUUUGUCUUUGGUAGCUAUAUGGGUCUCAAAAUAAACACAAAAUUAUUUCAGGUUGAUCUUCAAGGAGAGAUGGUAGACACAAUCUUGGGAUACCAUAGAGAAACAGUCUCAUUUAUAGACUUGUGACAUUAUAAUUAAAAUUAGCUUCUACAUGGCAGUACUGCAUUUGGUUAUGACACCCCUU